UUCUCUCUCUCUCUCUCACUCUCGGGAAAUGCCAUUCUCUACAGAUCUAAUACUUAUCUCACUCUCAAGCAAAUUUAUUACUUGUCUCGAACAAAUUAAAUCAUCACCAUGGGAAUUCAUGAUGGUUGUAUUUACUAGUUAGGGUUCAACAACUUUCAGAAGAUUUGAAAACGGCUAGCUCACCUCUGAUUUCAGGUUUUAUCAGAGCUUCAAUUCACCAGCUUAUUAGGGUUGGUGUUCUUAUAGGCAAAGAUGGGGAGACCAUUCGGUUAUUGCAGAAUAAUUCAGGCGAUAAAAUUCAAAUCACAAGAGAUACUGAAGCUGAUAGAUAUGCAACAACCAGACCUGUUGAAUUAAAUUCAGAUAGAAGUCCCAAAUGAGAAGGUUGGUUUGAUCGUUGGCAAGGGAGGUGAAACAAUUAAAUCCUUACAGAUAAGAUCUGGAACGAAAAUCCAGAUGUCUCGACGUCGUGUUUUUCAUCCAAGUAAAGAUUGGAUUUAUGCACUAAGUAUUCACCUCGAUGGGUUGCCGGUGUGCAAUCCUUUAUCCAAUUUACAAGAGACAGUCUUGGUGAAGCUAGUGAUGAAGUUCGAUGUCCUUGCAUGAAAUGUAAGAUUUACAAUUGUUUACCUAAAUCUCUAGAAGAUGUACAUGGGGAUAUACUUGAGAAUGGAUUUGAUAUAACAUACCAAACAUGGAUCCAUCACUGAGAGCAACCUAGUGAUCAUGUUUUCAAUGUUGAAGCUCCUCCUCCUUUACUCGCUAAUUAUGUUAUGAAUGAAGAUGUUCAUGUUUCGAGAAUCCACGAUUUGUUUACUGAGACAUUAUGACGUGCAGUUGGUAUCAAUAACUUUGAAAACUGCCAUAACAAUGAUGAUUGUCCUCCGGGUGCUGAUGUGGAAGAUGGUUCUGGUGGUAAUAAUCAAGAUACAGCUGAUGUCAAUUACAGUAAAAGGGUACAAGAUGCUGGGCAACCCUUAUAUCCAGGUUGUAGUCCUGAACAUACAAAAUUAUCGGCAACAGUUGAGUUACUUAGUAUGAAAGCAAGAUAUCAAUUUCUGAUGUUUUCAUGACUGAGUUAUUGGGAUAUUUGAAAACCAUUUUACCGGUUGAGAAUACGUUACCUGAUAAUUGUAGGAAAGCUAAGAUCAGACCCCCAUAUGAAUGCUUUUGAAGAUCCAUAUGUCUUCACUGCAACCUCUAGUGAUGCUCCAUUGAUUUCAGAAACGGUUGGAGAUGAUGAGUAUUCGGAUGUAGAUGAUCAGGAACUAGCACUAGCUGAAUGUGGAGACGAUGAAUAUUCGGAUGGGGAUGCUUAGGAACUAGCUGAAUGUGGGUUGUAGAUAUUCAAUCACAAUGUUUUUUUCGAGUUUGAUACCUUCAUGGAUAUCGGCACUCUGUUCCCGAUGGUCUCAUGAGGCUAACUGAUGUCAUGGUUGAUGGUAAGAUCGUUGCUCCUGCUGGAUGUAGAAAUGGUUGAAAGAGUUGUGUGUCUACAGUUCUGCUCUCACGCAAGCUAGUACCAAGAUCCUAAUGACUGAAACUGUUGUUGAAAUUCCCAGGACUUGUAUCACUUAAGAAAACUUAAUAAUUAGAAGUUUUUUAUAAUGAUUUAGGACUAAAUUUAUGAGUACAGUUCAAUGUAAUCGAGCUGUUAUUUGGUAUUAGACGAAUCAGGUUCUAUAUAGAAUUUGAAUUUGAGAAUUUGAAUGUCACUUGAAUUUGAUAACUUGAGUAAUUGUCAUUUGAAUUUGAAUUUGAA